rnacentral:rRNA from 1 species
AGAGUUUGAUCCUGGCUCAGGAUGAAUGCUGGCGGCGUGCCUAACACAUGCAAGUCGAGCGGUAACAUGAAUAAUUUAUUAUUUGAUGACGAGCGGCGGACGGCUGAGUAACGCGUGGGAACAUGCCCCAAAGUGAGGGAUAAGCUCCAGAAAUGGAGUCUAAUACCGCAUAUGAUCUUCGGAUUAAAGGAUUUAUCCGCUUUGGGAGUGGCCUGCGUACGAUUAGAUAGUUGGUGAGGUAAUGGCUUACCAAGUCUACGAUCGUUAGCUGGUCUGAGAGGAUGACCAGCCAGACUGGAACUGAGACACGGUCCAGACUCCUACGGGAGGCAGCAGUGAGGAAUCUUCCACAAUGGGCGAAAGCCUGAUGGAGCAACGCCGCGUGCAGGAUGAAGGCCCUCGGGUCGUAAACUGCUUUUAUAAGUGAAGAAUAUGACGGUAACUUAUGAAUAAGCACCGGCUAACUACGUGCCAGCAGCCGCGGUCAUACGUAGGGUGCAAGCAUUAUCCGGAGUGACUGGGCGUAAAGAGUUGCGUAGGUGGACAAGUAAGCGAAUAGUGAAAUCCGACGGCUCAACCGUAUGGACUAUUACUCGAACUGCUUGUCUCGAGAAUGGUAGAGGUAACUGGAAUUUCUAGUGUAGGAGUGAAAUCCGUAGAUAUUAGAAGGAACACCAAUGGCGUAGGCAGGUUACUGGACCAUUUCUGACACUGAGGCACGAAAGCGUGGGGAGCGAACCGGAUUAGAUACCCUGGUAGUCC